UACGAAGGGGGCUAGCGUUGCUCGGAAUCACUGGGCGUAAAGGGUGCGUAGGCGGGUCUUUAAGUCAGGGGUGAAAUCCUGGAGCUCAACUCCAGAACUGCCUUUGAUACUGAAGAUCUUGAGUUCGGGAGAGGUGAGUGGAACUGCGAGUGUAGAGGUGAAAUUCGUAGAUAUUCGCAAGAACACCAGUGGCGAAGGCGGCUCACUGGACCGGAACUGACGCUGAGGCGGCGAAAGCGUGGGGAGCAAACGGG
rnacentral:rRNA from 1 species